CCUACGGGAGGCAGCAGUGGGGGAUAUUGCACAAUGGGGGAAACCCUGAUGCAGCGACGCCGCGUGGGGGAAGAAGCGCCUCGGCGCGUAAAGCCCUGUCAGCAGGGAAGAAAAUGACGGUACCUGAAGAAGAAGCCCCGGCUAACUACGUGGCAGCAGCCGCGGUAAUACGUAGGGGGCAAGCGUUCUCCGGAUUUACUGGGUGUAAAGGGGGCGCAGGCGGGGAUGCAAGCAAGGAGUGAAAGCCCGGGGCACAACCCGGGGACUGCGCUUGGAAGUGUGUGGCUGGAGUGAAGUAGGGGCAGGCGGAAUUCCUGGUGUAGCGGUGAAAGGCGUAGAAAUUAGGAGGAACAC
rnacentral:rRNA from 1 species